UUGUUUUGUUAAAAUAAUAACGUUCAUUACACGAUGUUUGUAAAAAGCCCCGAAGGGCACGGUUCACAGAGGUUUGGAAAGUUAUAAGCCCUUGCGGGCGUUCACUAAUGAUCCUUCCGCAGGUUCACCUACGGAAA
rnacentral:misc_RNA from 1 species